UAGGGAAUCUUCCGCAAUGGACGAAAGUCUGACGGAGCAACGCCGCGUGAGUGAAGAAGGAUUUCGGUUCGUAAAACUCUGUUGUUAGGGAAGAAAAAAUGUAUAGUAACUAUAUACAAAAGAGACGGUACCUAACCAGAAAGCCACGGCUAACUACGUGCCAGCAGCCGCGGUAAUACGUAGGUGGCAAGCGUUGUCCGGAAUUAUUGGGCGUAAAGCGCGCGCAGGUGGUUUAGAAAGUCUGAUGUGAAAGCCCACGGCUCAACCGUGGAGGGUCAUUGGAAACUAAUAAACUUGAGUGCAGGAGAGAAAAGUGGAAUUCCUAGUUUAGCGGUGAAAUGCGUAGAGAUUAGGAGGAACACCGGUGGCGAAAGCGGCUUUUUGGCCUGCAACUGACACUGAGGCGCGAAAGCGUGGGGAGCAAACAGG
rnacentral:rRNA from 1 species